UGUAACGGGGCAUGGCUUAACUAAGGGGACUAUGGCAUGUAUAGGCGCAAAGCGGGGUUACGGUACGCGACUUAGGAGUCCCCUUAGG
rfam:Rous sarcoma virus (recovered td mutant 1441) env-src-3'LTR region.